rnacentral:rRNA from 1 species
GGGUUGUGAGGUUAAGCGACUAAGCGUACACGGUGGAUGCCCUGGCAGUCAGAGGCGAUGAAGGACGUGCUAAUCUGCGAUAAGCGUCGGUAAGGUGAUAUGAACCGUUAUAACCGGCGAUUUCCGAAUGGGGAAACCCAGUGUGAUUCGUCACACUAUCAUUAACUGAAUCCAUAGGUUAAUGAGGCGAACCGGGGGAACUGAAACAUCUAAGUACCCCGAGGAAAAGAAAUCAACCGAGAUUCCCCCAGUAGCGGCGAGCGAACGGGGAGCAGCCCAGAGCCUGAAUCAGUGUGUGUGUUAGUGGAAGCGUCUGGAAAGGCGCGCGAUACAGGGUGACAGCCCCGUACACAAAAAUGCACAUACUGUGAGCUCGAUGAGUAGGGCGGGACACGUGGUAUCCUGUCUGAAUAUGGGGGGACCAUCCUCCAAGGCUAAAUACUCCUGACUGACCGAUAGUGAACCAGUACCGUGAGGGAAAGGCGAAAAGAACCCCGGCGAGGGGAGUGAAAAAGAACCUGAAACCGUGUACGUACAAGCAGUGGGAGCACGCUUAGGCGUGUGACUGCGUACCUUUUGUAUAAUGGGUCAGCGACUUAUAUUCUGUAGCAAGGUUAACCGAAUAGGGGAGCCGAAGGGAAACCGAGUCUUAACUGGGCGUUAAGUUGCAGGGUAUAGACCCGAAACCCGGUGAUCUAGCCAUGGGCAGGUUGAAGGUUGGGUAACACUAACUGGAGGACCGAACCGACUAAUGUUGAAAAAUUAGCGGAUGACUUGUGGCUGGGGGUGAAAGGCCAAUCAAACCGGGAGAUAGCUGGUUCUCCCCGAAAGCUAUUUAGGUAGCGCCUCGUGAAUUCAUCUCCGGGGGUAGAGCACUGUUUCGGCAAGGGGGUCAUCCCGACUUACCAACCCGAUGCAAACUGCGAAUACCGGAGAAUGUUAUCACGGGAGACACACGGCGGGUGCUAACGUCCGUCGUGAAGAGGGAAACAACCCAGACCGCCAGCUAAGGUCCCAAAGUCAUGGUUAAGUGGGAAACGAUGUGGGAAGGCCCAGACAGCCAGGAUGUUGGCUUAGAAGCAGCCAUCAUUUAAAGAAAGCGUAAUAGCUCACUGGUCGAGUCGGCCUGCGCGGAAGAUGUAACGGGGCUAAACCAUGCACCGAAGCUGCGGCAGCGACGCUGAUGCGUUGUUGGGUAGGGGAGCGUUCUGUAAGCCUGCGAAGGUGUGCUGUGAGGCAUGCUGGAGGUAUCAGAAGUGCGAAUGCUGACAUAAGUAACGAUAAAGCGGGUGAAAAGCCCGCUCGCCGGAAGACCAAGGGUUCCUGUCCAACGUUAAUCGGGGCAGGGUGAGUCGACCCCUAAGGCGAGGCCGAAAGGCGUAGUCGAUGGGAAACAGGUUAAUAUUCCUGUACUUGGUGUUACUGCGAAGGGGGGACGGAGAAGGCUAUGUUGGCCGGGCGACGGUUGUCCCGGUUUAAGCGUGUAGGCUGGUUUUCCAGGCAAAUCCGGAAAAUCAAGGCUGAGGCGUGAUGACGAGGCACUACGGUGCUGAAGCAACAAAUGCCCUGCUUCCAGGAAAAGCCUCUAAGCAUCAGGUAACAUCAAAUCGUACCCCAAACCGACACAGGUGGUCAGGUAGAGAAUACCAAGGCGCUUGAGAGAACUCGGGUGAAGGAACUAGGCAAAAUGGUGCCGUAACUUCGGGAGAAGGCACGCUGAUAUGUAGGUGAAGUCCCUCGCGGAUGGAGCUGAAAUCAGUCGAAGAUACCAGCUGGCUGCAACUGUUUAUUAAAAACACAGCACUGUGCAAACACGAAAGUGGACGUAUACGGUGUGACGCCUGCCCGGUGCCGGAAGGUUAAUUGAUGGGGUCAGCGCAAGCGAAGCUCUUGAUCGAAGCCCCGGUAAACGGCGGCCGUAACUAUAACGGUCCUAAGGUAGCGAAAUUCCUUGUCGGGUAAGUUCCGACCUGCACGAAUGGCGUAAUGAUGGCCAGGCUGUCUCCACCCGAGACUCAGUGAAAUUGAACUCGCUGUGAAGAUGCAGUGUACCCGCGGCAAGACGGAAAGACCCCGUGAACCUUUACUAUAGCUUGACACUGAACAUUGAGCCUUGAUGUGUAGGAUAGGUGGGAGGCUUUGAAGUGUGGACGCCAGUCUGCAUGGAGCCGACCUUGAAAUACCACCCUUUAAUGUUUGAUGUUCUAACGUUGACCCGUGAUCCGGGUUGCGGACAGUGUCUGGUGGGUAGUUUGACUGGGGCGGUCUCCUCCUAAAGAGUAACGGAGGAGCACGAAGGUUGGCUAAUCCUGGUCGGACAUCAGGAGGUUAGUGCAAUGGCAUAAGCCAGCUUGACUGCGAGCGUGACGGCGCGAGCAGGUGCGAAAGCAGGUCAUAGUGAUCCGGUGGUUCUGAAUGGAAGGGCCAUCGCUCAACGGAUAAAAGGUACUCCGGGGAUAACAGGCUGAUACCGCCCAAGAGUUCAUAUCGACGGCGGUGUUUGGCACCUCGAUGUCGGCUCAUCACAUCCUGGGGCUGAAGUAGGUCCCAAGGGUAUGGCUGUUCGCCAUUUAAAGUGGUACGCGAGCUGGGUUUAGAACGUCGUGAGACAGUUCGGUCCCUAUCUGCCGUGGGCGCUGGAGAACUGAGGGGGGCUGCUCCUAGUACGAGAGGACCGGAGUGGACGCAUCACUGGUGUUCGGGUUGUCAUGCCAAUGGCACUGCCCGGUAGCUAAAUGCGGAAGAGAUAAGUGCUGAAAGCAUCUAAGCACGAAACUUGCCCCGAGAUGAGUUCUCCCUGACUCCUUGAGAGUCCUGAAGGAACGUUGAAGACGACGACGUUGAUAGGCCGGGUGUGUAAGCGCAGCGAUGCGUUGAGCUAACCGGUACUAAUGAACCGUGAGGCUUAACCUUACAACGCCGAAGCUGUU